GGGGAUUUAGCUCAGUGGUAGAGCGCUUGCCUAGCAAGCGCAAGGCCCUGGGUUCGGUUCCCAGCUCCA
rfam:Rattus norvegicus chromosome 1, whole genome shotgun sequence.